CACGUAGGGUGCGAGCGUUGUCCGGAAUUAUUGGGCGUAAAGAGCUCGUAGGCGGUGUGUCGCGUCGGCCGUGAAAACCUGCAGCUUAACUGUAGGCUUGCGGUCGAUACGGGCAUCACUGGAGUUCGGCAGGGGAGACUGGAAUUCCUGGUGUAGCGGUGAAAUGCGCAGAUAUCAGGAGGAACACCGGUGGCGAAGGCGGGUCUCUGGGCCGUAACUGACGCUGAGGAGCGAAAGCGUGGGGAGCGAACAGG
rnacentral:rRNA from 1 species